UUGUUCCUUUGCAUUGUUCUUUCUGUUUUCUCUUCCUGCACCAAAAGAGUGAUUGUUAAUACCUUUAUUUAUUAGGGAGACUUCAUUUCCACGUGUACCUGACUUGGUGAAAAUGUUUAUGAUACUUUAUUCUUUUGUUGCAGCUUCAUUUCAAUCUGGAUGAAGAUCCUUCAGCCUAUUUUGGCCUCUUUUCCACUCAGAACUUUUUCUUAAAAACAUAGCCAAAUAACAAUCACAUCCACCUUGUACCUCUACCUUUCAUGGUCUGGUUCUCCAUCCACUGAGCUACCCAGCUGCCCCUGAACUCACAUCUCCUUAUAUCCAGCAUUGACAGUCUAUCUGCUUAUAACACUUAGCUGCAAUUCCUUUGGAGAAGAGACUCACAUACCCACCAUUGGCUGAGGACCAACUGCCAUUUUUAAGCAAGUAAUCCAAAGAGCACCAGGAACAAUUUCCCAACCACCAGCCCUGCUUCCAGUCUGCUUCCAGAGCCAUCAUCUAGGGAAGCAACUCCCACAAAUGCUUCUGCAGGACAUAAUCACUUCACUUUAGAGUGGAGGCAUCUGAAAAUCACUGACAAGUUUUCUGGUAUGUGACCUGAAAGCUUCCUGAUAAAUAUUUGCCAGAAAACCGUCAUUCCAACUCUGAAUGAGACCAAUGUGGGAUAAGUAACUUUCAUCCUACUGAGAUUGGAUUGCAGGUUGAAUAAAGAAGGCCCUGUGUGGUGUGGUUUGAGGAGU
rnacentral:lncRNA from 1 species